rnacentral:rRNA from 1 species
UGCAUAUCCAAAAGCGGAGGAAAAGAAACCAACAGGGAUUGCCUUAGUAGCGGCGAGUGAAGCGGCAAAAGCUCAAAUUUGAAAUCUGGUACUUUCAGUGCCCGAGUUGUAAUUUGAAGAAGGUAUCUUUGGGUCUGGCGCUUGUCUAUGUUUCUUGGAACAGAACGUCACAGAGGGUGAGAAUCCCGUGCGAUGAGAUGAUCCAGACCUAUGUAAAGUUCCUUCGACGAGUCGAGUUGUUUGGGAAUGCAGCUCUAAGUGGGUGGUAAAUUCCAUCUAAAGCUAAAUAUUGGCGAGAGACCGAUAGCGAACAAGUACAGUGAUGGAAAGAUGAAAAGAACUUUGAAAAGAGAGUGAAAAAGUACGUGAAAUUGUUGAAAGGGAAGGGCUUGAGAUCAGACUUGGUAUUUUGUAUGUUACUUCUUCGGGGGUGGCCUCUACAGUUUAUCGGGCCAGCAUCAGUUUGGACGGUAGGACAAUUGCGGUGGAAUGUGGCACGGCCUCGGUUGUGUGUUAUAGCCACUGUCGAUACUGCCAGUCUAGACUGAGGACUGCGGUUUUAUUACCUAGGAUGUUGGCAUAAUGAUCUUAAGUCGCCCGUCUUGAAACACGGGACCA